UUUCCGUAGGUGAACCUGCGGAAGGAUCAUUCAUAAUAAAGUGUUUUAUGGCACUUUUUAAAAAAUCCAUAUCCACCUUGUGUGCAAUGUUAGAUCUCGUCAAUCUUGGCGAGAUUUUUAUACAUCAACUCAUUCUUUAACUAAUUUGUCUGGAAAAUAUUAUGAACACUUAAUUCAAAAUACAACUUUCAACAACGAAUCUCUUGGCUCUCGCAUCGAUGCAGAACCAGC
rnacentral:misc_RNA from 1 species